GAUGAACGCUGGCGGCGUGCCUAAUACAUGCAAGUCGAGCGAACAGACGAGGAGCUUGCUCCUCUGACGUUAGCGGCGGACGGGUGAGUAACACGUGGAUAACCUACCUAUAAGACUGGGAUAACUUCGGGAAACCGGAGCUAAUACCGGAUAAUAUAUUGAACCGCAUGGUUCAAUAGUGAAAGACGGUUUUGCUGUCACUUAUAGAUGGAUCCGCGCCGCAUUAGCUAGUUGGUAAGGUAACGGCUUACCAAGGCAACGAUGCGUAGCCGACCUGAGAGGGUGAUCGGCCACACUGGAACUGAGACACGGUCCAGACUCCUACGGGAGGCAGCAGUAGGGAAUCUUCCGCAAUGGGCGAAAGCCUGACGGAGCAAUGCCGCGGGAGUGAUGAAGGGCUUCGGAUCGUAAAACUCUGUUAUUAGGGAAGAACAAAUGUGUAAGUAACUAUGCACGUCUUGACGGUACCUAAUCAGAAAGCCACGGCUAACUACGUGC
rnacentral:rRNA from 1 species